rnacentral:rRNA from 1 species
AGAGUUUGAUCCUGGCUCAGGAUGAACGCUAGCUACAGGCUUAACACAUGCAAGUCGAGGGGCAGCAUGGUCUUAGCUUGCUAAGGCCGAUGGCGACCGGCGCACGGGUGAGUAACACGUAUCCAACCUGCCGUCUACUCUUGGACAGCCUUCUGAAAGGAAGAUUAAUACAAGAUGGCAUCAUGAGUCCGCAUGUUCACAUGAUUAAAGGUAUUCCGGUAGACGAUGGGGAUGCGUUCCAUUAGAUAGUAGGCGGGGUAACGGCCCACCUAGUCUUCGAUGGAUAGGGGUUCUGAGAGGAAGGUCCCCCACAUUGGAACUGAGACACGGUCCAAACUCCUACGGGAGGCAGCAGUGAGGAAUAUUGGUCAAUGGGCGAGAGCCUGAACCAGCCAAGUAGCGUGAAGGAUGACUGCCCUAUGGGUUGUAAACUUCUUUUAUACGGGAAUAAAGUGAGGCACGUGUGCCUUUUUGUAUGUACCGUAUGAAUAAGGAUCGGCUAACUCCGUGCCAGCAGCCGCGGUAAUACGGAGGAUCCGAGCGUUAUCCGGAUUUAUUGGGUUUAAAGGGAGCGUAGGCGGACGCUUAAGUCAGUUGUGAAAGUUUGCGGCUCAACCGUAAAAUUGCAGUUGAUACUGGGUGUCUUGAGUACAGUAGAGGCAGGCGGAAUUCGUGGUGUAGCGGUGAAAUGCUUAGAUAUCACGAAGAACUCCGAUUGCGAAGGCAGCUUGCUGGACUGUAACUGACGCUGAUGCUCGAAAGUGUGGGUAUCAAACAGGAUUAGAUACCCUGGUAGUCCACACAGUAAACGAUGAAUACUCGCUGUUUGCGAUAUACAGUAAGCGGCCAAGCGAAAGCGUUAAGUAUUCCACCUGGGGAGUACGCCGGCAACGGUGAAACU